UAGGGAAUCUUCCGCAAUGGACGCAAGUCUGACGGAGCAACGCCGCGUUAGUGAAGAAGGAUUUCGGUUCGUAAAACUCUGUUGUUAGAGAAGAACAGCGCAUAGAGUAACUGUUAUGCGUGUGACGGUAUCUAACCAGAAAGCCACGGCUAACUACGUGCCAGCAGCCGCGGUAAUACGUAGGUGGCAAGCGUUGUCCGGAUUUAUUGGGCGUAAAGCGAGCGCAGGCGGUCAAUUAAGUCUGAUGUGAAAGCCCCCGGCUCAACCGGGGAGGGUCAUUGGAAACUGGUUGACUUGAGUGCAGAAGAGGAGAGUGGAAUUCCAUGUGUAGCGGUGAAAUGCGUAGAUAUAUGGAGGAACACCAGUGGCGAAGGCGACUAUCUGGUCUGUAACUGACGCUGAGGCUCGAAAGCGUGGGUAGCAAACAGG
rnacentral:rRNA from 1 species